UGGAUUAGAUACCCCACUAUGCCUAGCCCUAAAUCUUGAUGCUUCCCAAACACAAACAUCCGCCCGAGAACUACGAGCACAAACGCUUAAAACUCUAAGGACUUGGCGGUGCCCUAAACCCACCUAGAGGAGCCUGUUCUAUAAUCGAUAACCCACGAUCCACCCGACCACUUCUCGCCAAAACAGCCUACAUACCGCCGUCCCCAGCCCACCUCUGUGAGAGCACAACAGUGAGCCCAACAGCCUCCACUCCGCUAAUAAGACAGGUCAAGGUAUAGCCUAUGAAGUGGAAGAAAUGGGCUACAUUUUCUAAAAUAGAACACCUAACGAAAGGGGGCCUGAAACCUGCCCCAAGAAGGCGGAUUUAGCAGUAAAGCGGGACAAUCGAGCCCCCUUUAAACCGGUCCUAGGGCACGUACAUACCGCCCGUCACCCUAA
rnacentral:rRNA from 1 species